rnacentral:rRNA from 1 species
GACGAACGCUGGCGGCGUGCUUAACACAUGCAAGUCGAACGGAAAGGCCCUGCUUUUGUGGGGUGCUCGUGUGGCGCACGGGGGUGUAACACGUGAGUAACCUCCCCCUGUCUGUGGGAUAACUUCAGGAAACUGGGGCGAAUACCGGAUAGGAGCUCCUUAUGCAUGGGGGUGGUUGCUAAGUUUCGGCGGUGGGGCAUGGACUCGCGGUCUAGCAGCUUGUUGGUGGGGUAGUGACUUACCAAGGCUUUGACGGGUAGCCGGCCUGGGAGGGUGACCGGCCCCAUUGGGCCUGGGAUAGGGCCCGGACUCCUCCGGGAGGCAGCAGUGGGGAUUUUUCCAAAAUGGGCGGAGGCCUGAUGCAGGAACGCCGGGUGCGGGAUGACGGCUUUCGGGUUGUAAACCGCUUUCGCCUGUAACGAAGCGUGAGUGACGGUAAUGGGUAAAGAAGCACCGGCUAACUACGUG